UUGGAGGCCACCUCAGGAACCAUCAUCUGCAAGGCCACAAACACCGUGUCCAAACUGUUUGUAACAGCGGUCCGAAAACUAACUGUUACAAAAAGCUAUCCAUCCAUGGCGGGAAAAGUGGAGCUUCUGCCAACACUGGUGUUUGCAAGCAUUAUACAUUUUGGUAUAAUGAUUACAAUAUGACCAAGUAUAGGAUAUCAUUAAGAAGAAGAAAAAAAAAAAGA